rnacentral:tRNA from 1 species
GCCCCGGUAGCUCAGCCGGAUAGAGCAAUCGCCUCCUAAGCGAUAGGUCGCAGGUUCGAAUCCUGCCCGGGGCG